UGAACGCUAGCUACAGGCUUAACACAUGCAAGUCGAGGGGAAACGACAUCGAAAGCUUGCUUUUGAUGGGCGUCGACCGGCGCACGGGUGAGUAACGCGUAUCCAACCUGCCCACCACUUGGGGAUAACCUUGCGAAAGUAAGACUAAUACCCAAUGACGUCUCUAGAAGACAUCUGAAAGAGAUUAAAGAUUUAUCGGUGAUGGAUGGGGAUGCGUCUGAUUAGCUUGUUGGCGGGGUAACGGCCCACCAAGGCAACGAUCAGUAGGGGUUCUGAGAGGAAGGUCCCCCACAUUGGAACUGAGACACGGUCCAAACUCCUACGGGAGGCAGCAGUGAGGAAUAUUGGUCAAUGGACGAGAGUCUGAACCAGCCAAGUAGCGUGCAGGAUGACGGCCCUAUGGGUUGUAAACUGCUUUUAUAAGGGAAUAAAGUGAGUCUCGUGAGACUUUUUGCAUGUACCUUAUGAAUAAGGACCGGCUAAUUCCGUGCCAGCAGCCGCGGUAAUACGGAAGGUCCGGGCGUUAUCCGGAUUUAUUGGGUUUAAAGGGAGCGUAGGCCGGAGAUUAAGCGUGUUGUGAAAUGUAGACGCUCAACGUCUGCACUGCAGCGCGAACUGGUUUCCUUGAGUACGCACAAAGUGGGCGGAAUUCGUGGUGUAGCGGUGAAAUGCUUAGAUAUCACGAAGAACUCCGAUUGCGAAGGCAGCUCACUGGAGCGCAACUGACGCUGAAGCUCGAAAGUGCGGGUAUCGAACAGGAUUAGAUACCCUGGUAGUCCGCACGGUAAACGAUGGAUGCCCGCUGUUGGUCUGAAUAGGUCAGCGGCCAAGCGAAAGCAUUAAGCAUCCCACCUGGGGAGUACGCCGGCAACGGUGAAACUCAAAGGAAUUGACGGAA
rnacentral:rRNA from 1 species